CCAAAUAUCUAAACGGAGAAAUUCAAUACUAAGCGCUUAACAAUUAGUGUGCACUUUUCUCUUAGUAAGACGCCGUGAUCCAUUAGAAAUUGAUAUGUUCCAAACAUAUAGUGGGUCAUCAAUAGGCCGGCAUGAAGUUUUUCGGAACAAAUGGCGUGAUCUUUAACGGUUGCGUGUAUUGUCUGGGAAGCAUGUCGAUACCUGUAAUGACUGUCUGAUGGAUUUUAAAGAUUAUAUCAACGAUGUUUCGGCACCGGCGCUUGCGCAAUCGAUAUGUAUCUGAUCAACGGCGGUUAAAUUUGGGAUACCUUUUGGACCCGUCUUGAAACACGGACCAAGGAGUCUAUCUAGUAUGCGAGUAAAUGGAUAGUUAAUGAAAUCUAUUUGCGCAAUAAACGUGACUGUUGUGGGAUUACAACUUGUGUGUGUUAAAGCACACUUGUUUUCCAUCCCGGGGUAUUUUCAUCAACAUAUGAGCAAUCAUAUGGGAAAUAUACCAUGAGCACACUGGAUACGACCCGAAAGAUGGUGAACUAUGCCUGAUCAGGUUGAAGUCAGGGGAAACUCUGAUGGAGGACCGAAGCAGUUCUGACGUGCAAAUCGAUUGUCAGAAUUGGGCAUAGGGGCGAAAGACCAAUCGAACCAUC
rnacentral:rRNA from 1 species